AAUUUCCAGGGAUACAGGCAUCCAGCAACAGGACCUCCGUAAUGCUAUGAUGGACCAUGAGGUCUGGCGUAGCAUGGUAAAUUCCAUUGUCUCGACCACGUUCGAACAAUGAUGAUGAUGAGAAGGUGCUGAGUCUUGUUGAAGCACGUAUGGUUCCAUUGCAUACUUCAUCAAUCCAGGGCUUGAUAACAAUUUCCAGUACCUCAAUGUAUCCAGUAGCAUUAAUUCUAAGACCCUGUGGAAAAAAAGUGGGGCGGCAUCACAUGACCUUCGCUACUCGUCAUUCCUAAAACCAUCACAGUUGCUGGAAAUUUCGUGUGCAUCACUCUUGAUACCUCAGAAGGAUCUGCACAUAACCACCUGUCAUUUCUUCUGUUAGACUUUUGAUCCUGGUCAAAGUUUUUUUUUUAUCAGAGAAAAACCAAAGCAUGCCUUAUUCAUGAGGGUUUUUCACUUUGUUAAGAAACCGUUUUGAAUGGACAAGAUGGUUUUUCUGUGUCUUUGCAGAUACAAUUUCGCCUUUCCUCAUUACAUAGGACUUGUAUCGAAUGUCAUGAUGUACCACAGUUCUGAUAGUCCACUCUGACACCUGAAGUUCUUUAGCAAUGGACCUCGUUGAUCUAGGGUUUUCAUCGAUAAUGUUUUGAACAUGUUGUAUAAAUUCUGGUCUCCUUUUAGUAUCUGAGCGUUGUGAAUGUUCUUUUCUCUUUGAUACAGGUGAAACGCUACCAUCACAUGCCUCCAGUUCCGACUGAACUUUGUGUACAAAUGAUCUUGCAACAUUUAGAAAGUUGCUAAUUUCUGAAUCACUUUUGGUUUGCAUGUAUAGCAACUAUGACUGCAUGUCUUUUCAUUUCUUGAGUUAGUCUGAUAUCUUGAAAGGGUUAUCUGAAAAAAAAAUUGAUACAUUAAUUAAUUUGUAGGUCUUUCUUUUACUCUUUUACUUGUUUCAGUCAUUUGACUGUGG